rnacentral:piRNA from 1 species
UGUGGAUUACAGCCUCACCAAGGAAGCAGA